rnacentral:rRNA from 1 species
AGUGAACGCUGGCGGUAGGCCUAACACAUGCGAGUCGAACGGCAGCACAGUAAGAGCUUGCUCUUACGGGUGGCGAGUGGCGGACGGGUGAGGAAUACAUCGGAAUCUACUUUUUCGUGGGGGAUAACGUAGGGAAACUUACGCUAAUACCGCAUACGACCUACGGGUGAAAGCAGGGGAUCUUCGGACCUUGCGCGAUUGAAUGAGCCUAUGUCGGAUUAGCUAGUUGGCGGGGUAAAGGCCCACCAAGGCGACGAUCCGUAGCUGGUCUGAGAGGAUGAUCAGCCAAACUGGAACUGAGACACGGUCCAGACUCCUACGGGAGGCAGCAGUGGGGAAUAUUGGACAAUGGGCGCAAGCCUGAUCCAGCCAUACCGCGUGGGUGAAGAAGGCCUUCGGGUUGUAAAGCCCUUUUGUUGGGAAAGAAAAGCAGCAGGUUAAUACCCCGCUGUUCUGACGGUACCCAAAGAAUAAGCACCGGCUAACUUCGUG